rnacentral:rRNA from 1 species
UACGAAGGGGGCUAGCGUUGCUCGGAAUCACUGGGCGUAAAGCGCACGUAGGCGGCUUUCUAAGUCAGGGGUGAAAUCCUGGAGCUCAACUCCAGAACUGCCUUUGAUACUGGAGAGCUCGAGUCCGGAAGAGGUGAGUGGAACUCCGAGUGUAGAGGUGAAAUUCGUAGAUAUUCGGAAGAACACCAGUGGCGAAGGCGGCUCACUGGCCCGGUACUGACGCUGAGGUGCGAAAGCGUGGGGAGCAAACAGG